GCUCGGAUGGUCUAGCGGUAUGACGGUAAGGGUUACUUUCCUUCCUAACCGGUGGCAGCCGCUGAUCUUCAAAUCACAGCUUGCCUCACACGCAAGAGGUCCGGGGUUCGAUACCCCGUCCGAGUA